rnacentral:lncRNA from 1 species
CUUUAGCUGGUUAUAUAGCUGCAGUUGCCACUUGCAUGUUUGUCUCAAAGAAAUUGAUCAUAAUACUCACUACUCGGCUUAAAUUUUCACCUAUGAAUAAUUUUUGUAUUACAAAGGUGAUUAUUGCACACAAAUUGUUAGAUGAAUAAAGUGCACAUCAGUGGUAUAGCACGUAUGUUUGUACAAAAAACUGCUACCGUUUACAACCCAUAAUGCAAUAAUGAGUAUUUAUUUUUAUAGCUUACUGUAGUAAACUUAAGCUAGAGGCCA